rnacentral:rRNA from 1 species
AUUGAACGCUGGCGGCAUGCCUUACACAUGCAAGUCGAACGGCAGCACGGGUGCUUGCACCUGGUGGCGAGUGGCGAACGGGUGAGUAAUACAUCGGAACAUGUCCUGUAGUGGGGGAUAGCCCGGCGAAAGCCGGAUUAAUACCGCAUACGAUCUACGGAUGAAAGCGGGGGACCUUCGGGCCUCGCGCUAUAGGGUUGGCCGAUGGCUGAUUAGCUAGUUGGUGGGGUAAAGGCCUACCAAGGCGACGAUCAGUAGCUGGUCUGAGAGGACGACCAGCCACACUGGGACUGAGACACGGCCCAGACUCCUACGGGAGGCAGCAGUGGGGAAUUUUGGACAAUGGGCGAAAGCCUGAUCCAGCAAUGCCGCGUGUGUGAAGAAGGCCUUCGGGUUGUAAAGCACUUUUGUCCAGAAAGAAAUCCUUGGCUCUAAUACAGUCGGGGGAUGACGGUACCGGAAGAAUAAGCACCGGCUAACUACGUG